GCAGCAGUUUUGGAGUAAAAAUUGUACCCAGUAGGUACAUAAUAAUUAUACUAAAUUUGAGGACAGUGAUUGAAGAAAUGUAAACUAAAUAAUUAUAGAUUAACUAUUGAUUUUGUGGUGUUUCUCUCAACUGACACACUUGUUUUUUCUUGAUUAUUUAUUAUUGUCUUGAUGUGCAAUUAAAGCGUCCCUUCUAUUUACCAGUUUGACAACAUAUUAUGUUGACCUUUCAUCUAUAAAUAAGACAAAAACUUUUAUUUUCCGAAUUUCCAUCUAUAGAUAUCCAGGGGCAAUCUGAUAUCCACGAUGUCUGAAAUUCUCGCUUCCGUUUUUUUUUUUUUUUAAUACUCUGUCUCCUCCGUUUGCAUUUAAGGUUUUCUACUUGACCCCUGAUUCUUUUUGCCUUGCUUGCCCAGCUUUUUAUUAAGUAUUUGUCAAUCUGAAUCUCGAUACAAAAUUUAAAGAAAUGACACUUCCAGUAAAUGAUGGAUGAAACUUAAUCGACGAUCCCGGGUCAAUGGACAAAGCCAAUGCAAUGUUACGCGACUCGGGUUCGCAUACUUAUUUUUAUUUAUUUUGGUAAUCGAUCUAUUUCCGGUAUCAUGUAAUAUUUAUCGUCAUGAACAUUGAUGUUUUUACUUGCUGAACAUUGGUUUAUUUUACAUAAAUUAAACAUCUUUAUACGUUUUGAAAUUAAUUUUAUGUUUUUGAUGGAUUUGAACUUUUUCUUGUAUAUUUUUUUACUUGUCCACGGGCAACCAAGACAAAAAUAAUUACUUGUCCGGUUGUUCAAAUGUACGAGUCGGGCGAGUCGGGCAUAGCAUUUCCACACCCCUGAAUC
rnacentral:lncRNA from 1 species